CUCCUGUGGACAUCCCGGCAAUGCAGCUCGUCAUGAACGGCGGGGAUUCCACCUAUGUUGCUCUGCUGCCGUCUGGGUUUGCCAUCCUGCCUGAUGGUCCCAGCACCGGUGCUGAGCACAAGACUGGUGGCUCAUUGCUCACCGUCGCCUUCCAGAUCCUCGUCAACAGCCAGCCGACCGCCAAGCUCACUGUGGAAUCAGUAGAGACUGUGAACAACCUCAUCUCCUGCACAAUCAAGAAGAUCAAGACGGCGC
rnacentral:lncRNA from 1 species